rnacentral:rRNA from 1 species
GAUGAACGCUGGCGGCGUGCCUAAUACAUGCAAGUCGAGCGAACGGACGAGAAGCUUGCUUCUCUGAUGUUAGCGGCGGACGGGUGAGUAACACGUGGAUAACCUACCUAUAAGACUGGGAUAACUUCGGGAAACCGGAGCUAAUACCGGAUAAUAUUUUGAACCGCAUGGUUCAAAAGUGAAAGACGGUCUUGCUGUCACUUAUAGAUGGAUCCGUGCUGCAUUAGCUAGUUGGUAAGGUAACGGCUUACCAGGGCAACGAUGCAUAGCCGACCUGAGAGGGUGAUCGGCCACACUGGAACUGAGACACGGUCCAGACUCCUACGGGAGGCAGCAGUAGGGAAUCUUCCGCAAUGGGCGAAAGCCUGACGGAGCAACGCCGCGUGAGUGAUGAAGGUCUUCGGAUCGUAAAACUCUGUUAUUAGGGAAGAACAUAUGUGUAAGUAACUGUGCACAUCUUGACGGUACCUAAUCAGAGAGCCACGGCUAACUACGUGCCAGCAGCCGCGGUAAUACGUAGGUGGCAAGCGUUAUCCGGAAUUAUUGGGCGUAAAGCGCGCGUAGGCGGUUUUUUAAGUCUGAUGUGAAAGCCCACGGCUCAACCGUGGAGGGUCAUUGGAAACUGGAAAACUUGAGUGCAGAAGAGGAAAGUGGAAUUCCAUGUGUAGCGGUGAAAUGCGCAGAGAUAUGGAGGAACACCAGUGGCGAAGGCGACUUUCUGGUCUGUAACUGACGCUGAUGUGCGAAAGCGUGGGGAUCAAACAGGAUUAGAUACCCUGGUAGUCCACGCCGUAAACGAUGAGUGCUAAGUGUUAGGGGGUUUCCGCCCCUUAGUGCUGCAGCUAACGCAUUAAGCACUCCGCCUGGGGAGUACGACCGCAAGGUUGAAACUCAAAGGAAUUGACGGGGACCCGCACAAGCGGUGGAGCAUGUGGUUUAAUUCGAAGCAACGCGAAGAACCUUACCAAAUCUUGACAUCCUUUGACAACUCUAGAGAUAGAGCUUUCCCCUUCGGGGGACAAAGUGACAGGUGGUGCAUGGUUGUCGUCAGCUCGUGUCGUGAGAUGUUGGGUUAAGUCCCGCAACGAGCGCAACCCUUAAGCUUAGUUGCCAUCAUUAAGUUGGGCACUCUAAGUUGACUGCCGGUGACAAACCGGAGGAAGGUGGGGAUGACGUCAAAUCAUCAUGCCCCUUAUGAUUUGGGCUACACACGUGCUACAAUGGACAAUACAAAGGGCAGCGAAACCGUGAGGUCAAGCAAAUCCCAUAAAGUUGUUCUCAGUUCGGAUUGUAGUCUGCAACUCGACUACAUGAAGCUGGAAUCGCUAGUAAUCGUAGAUCAGCAUGCUACGGUGAAUACGUUCCCGGGUCU